UACGUAGGGGGCGAGCGUUGUCCGGAGUUACUGGGCGUAAAGCGUGCGCAGGCGGUUUUGUAAGCCAGAUGUGAAAUCCCCGGGCUUAACCUGGGAACUGCGUUUGAAACUACAAAGCUAGAGUGUGACAGAGGGGGGUGGAAUUCCACGUGUAGCAGUGAAAUGCGUAGAGAUGUGGAGGAACACCGAUGGCGAAGGCAGCCCCCUGGGUUAACACUGACGCUCAGGCACGAAAGCGUGGGGAGCAAACAGG
rnacentral:rRNA from 1 species